rnacentral:rRNA from 1 species
CCUACGGGAGGCAGCAGUGAGGAAUAUUGGUCAAUGGGCGAGAGCCUGAACCAGCCAAGUCGCGUGAAGGAUGACGGCCCUACGGGUUGUAAACUUCUUUUGUCAGGGAGCAAUUGGGUCCACGCGUGGGCUUAGCGAGAGUACCUGAAGAAAAACCAUCGGCUAACUCCGUGCCAGCAGCCGCGGUAAUACGGAGGAUGCGAGCGUUAUCCGGAUUUAUGGGGUUUAAGGGGUGCGUAGGCGGAAUAUCAAGUCAGCGGUAAAAAUUCGGGGCUCAACCCCGUCGUGCCGUUGAAACUGAUGUUCUUGAGUGGGCGAGAAGUAUGCGGAAUGCGUGGUGUAGCGGUGAAAUGCAUAGAUAUCGCGCAGAACUCCGAUUGCGAAGGCAGCAUACCGGCGGCCAACUGACGCUGAAGCACGAAAGCGUGGGUAUCGAACAGGAUUAGAUACCCGGGUAGUC